rnacentral:rRNA from 1 species
UACCAGCACCCCCGAGUGGUUGGGACGAUUAUUGGGCCUAAAGCAUCCGUAGCCGGUCCUACAAGUCUUCCGUUAAAUCCACCUGCUACAGAUGGGCUGCGGAAGAUACUAUAGGGGCUAGGAGGCGGGAGAGGCAAGCGGUACUCAGUGGGUAGGGGUAAAAUCCUCUGAUCCAUUGAAGACCACCAGUGGCGAAGGCGGCUUGCCAGAACGCGCUCGACGGUGAGGGAUGAAAGCUGGGGGAGCAAACCGG